UGGGGAAUAUUGCACAAUGGGGGAAACCCUGAUGCAGCGACGCCGCGUGAGCGAAGAAGGCUUUCGAGUCGUAAAGCUCUGUCCUAUGAGAAGAUAAUGACGGUAUCAUAGGAGGAAGCCCUGGCUAAAUACGUGCCAGCAGCCGCGGUAAUACGUAUGGGGCGAGCGUUGUCCGGAAUUAUUGGGCGUAAAGGGUACGUAGGUGGUUUUUUAAGUCAGGUGUCAAAGCGUGGAGCUUAACUCCAUUAAGCACUUGAAACUGAAAGACUUGAGUGAAGGAGAGGAAAGUGGAAUUCCUAGUGUAGCGGUGAAAUGCGUAGAUAUUAGGAGGAAUACCGGUGGCGAAGGCGACUUGCUGGACUACAACUGACGCUGAGAAACGAAAGAGUGGGUAGCAAACAGG
rnacentral:rRNA from 1 species